GCUGCCACCAGUGAGGCGUUCGAGCGAGUAACUGUAACUGUAAAUUCAUUGUUUGCAGGGAGAUGCACGAUGGACAGCGAUAGUUGCCGACAUUGAUCUUGUGUUAAAGAUUCUUUUAAUUUUCAAAAAAGCUCUUUAAAUGUUGGUAAACCAGUGCCAGUCCUCCAUGAAUUUCUGAUUUUGAAAAAUGUCAAGCAUUGAUUGGUGCAGUUGUUUUAUUGAAGUUUUUCAGAACUCUUCUAUGCUAUUCCAAGUUAUUCUAUGUAGACAAAGAUGUUUAUUUCUCUGUUGUUUUUAUUAUUUUUUAAAAUUAAAUGCGAAAUAUAAAUAGAAAUUUGUGUAAUAUCUGUAUUGUUUAUGGAUUUGUCUUUGUAUAAUAAAAUAUA